UACGAACGGACAGAAAAUAACACAGAGCGACUGAGAGGACUGACUUUUUUUUUGUUAGCAACGGUUUUGUGAUGCAAAUGUGUGACUCUUUUGAACGCAUAUUGUUUUGAGAAGCUAGACUCUUUACUUAAACGACCCCAGCAACUAACCGCUACUACGUUUCUCCUCACCGAAAUCCGACCAGAACUCACGGAACAAAGUGGGGGAAAUCCCUUCUGGAUAGUGCAGAACUCUUGGUGCACCGCUCAGGGAACCGAAGGUUACGUUUGUGUGCAUGGAGACCGGCUACUGAGCCAGCAGAGCCGAGCCGACAUACCAUGGCUGAGAUCGAGUGGAAAAAAAGGUUCUCGUUCUGUCUGGAAGUGCAACUCAGCGGAACUACGUUCUUCAUCACGGAAAUCUGACCAGAACUGGAUUUUGGAGACCAAGUGGGGGUCGACCAGCAGGGGGGGUGGACAUGAUCAAUGCAACACCUGUAUGAGGAUGAGCAGCCAACACAGCAGACUACCACAGCAGCCAGUCAGUAUCACCUGAGUCAAGCUUCUCAUGCUAAAGAACAACGGCUGAUCAAAAGGUACAUGAGCAGCUUGGUGAAACAUUCUUCAAUGACGUCCCAGGCAGGUGUUAUGUUUUGUUCUACGGCGAUGUGAACUGGUGAACCUUAAAGGUGAGCACGUGAUGAACAGCGCUAAGGCAAGCGUGUGAUGGUCUGUGCACUGUCGGUAGCAUUUGAUCAUGUUGGCCAUUUACAUAUCUGAAUGGGGCUAUAAAUGUAAUCAUCGUCUGCCAGUUUGAAAGCAGCCAAUUGGCCAAAUCUGAAUCAGUGCUCAGAUAAGCCAAGUUGGCACGGGGGCAGCUUCAUCCCAAUUACACGCCGAAGACAGGAUGUCCUUCCUAAUUAUGGAGACGGAUAGGGAAAAGAUUUCACAUUUCCACCAGGUGGGGGGUCUGCGACAAAAGAAUACACCUUCUAUAACUGAAUUAUUGCACUCACAACAUUUGUGCAGCAAUGAAAAAUUGGGGGAAUAGCCUCAAUUUUGGGGCAUUCUUUGCUUAAAACAUCUUACCUCAACUCCAUGAUACUGGUAACAUUGCCUGAAGGGUAGAUGCGCCGGAUGUAGUUGAAGUCUCCCACAUAGAGACUCCCAUCGAUGCCCCAUGCCAAGGCCACGGGCGCCAGCAGCUUGUUGCCCUGCGCCUGGCCGUUGCAGCUCGGACAGGAGAUGCUGCGGCGGCGACCGUUGCCCAUGACGGUGGAGAUGACGGGCGGCUGCAGGGAGAUGAACUGGUUCUCGCCGCUGCCUUUGUAAAGAAUGCCUGGAAGGAACAUAACAGGUGUGAACAGGGCUCGUUCAAGUCAUACGCUCACAUUUAAGCACCUGAACCUCAUCACCGUUUUGGGAGAAUCCCCAGUUGAUAAUCUGAUGAGCAGAUCAAUGCAACUGUCAUGCACAAAAACGGUAUUGAUCUUUCAAUCAUGCCAUUCUGCAACAGUCACUGCUACUACAAAACUUUAUUCUACUUAUUCACUGACACGUAUCCAAAUCUGCCAUGUUAAAAGAUUGGAGAGCAAAUUCUCAUCCUUAAAUGUUGUGCUUGCUUUCAGGUUCAAUUACAUAUUGAGCUUUUUUGCUAAAUAUUUAACUUUAACGUACAAAUUGGUAAUAAGAGUGACUUAUUGGUUUGAAACAAUAUAAAGUGUUUUUUUUUGCAUGUCACACUUAUAUGACCAACAUAAUUGACCACAAAAUGCAGUUUUUAAAUGAAAAAUUUUACAUUAAAGGAGAAAAAAAAAUCCAAAGCUACAUGUCCCUGUGUGAAAAAGUUAUUGCCCCCUAAACCUAAUAACUGGUUGGGCCACCCUUAGCAGCAACAACUGCAAUCAAGCGUUUGUAAUAACUUGCAAUGAGUCUCUUGCAGCGCUGUGGAGGAAUUUUGGCCCACUUUUCUUUACAGAAUUGUUGUAAUUCAGCCACAUUGGAGGGUUUUCCAGCAUGAACCACCUUUUUAAGGUCAUGCCACAGCAUCUCAAUAGGAUUCAGGUCAGGACUUUGGCUAGGCCACUCCAAAGUCUUCCUUUUGUUUUUCUUCAGCCAUUCAGAGGUGGACUUGCUGCUGUGUUUUGGAUCAUUGUCCUGCUGCAGAGGUCACCAACAGACGGCCGGGCAUUCUCCUUCAGGAUUUUUUGGUAGACAGCAGAAUUCAUGGUUACAUUUAGCACAGCAAGUCUUCCAGGUCCUGAAGCAGGAAACAGCCCCAGACCAUCACACUACCACCACCAUAUUUAACUCUUGGUAUGAUGUUCUUUUUCUGAAAUGUGGUGUUACUUUUACACCAGAUGUAAUGGGACACACACUUUCCAAAAAGUUCAAAUUUUGUCUCGUCAGACCCCAGAGAAUGUUCCCAAAGAUCUUAGGGAUCAUCAAGAUGUUUUCUGGCAAAAUUGAGACAAGCCUUGAUGUUCUUUUUACUCAGCAGUGGGUUUCGUCUUGGAGCCGUUUUUGUCCAGUGUCUUUCUUAUGGUGGAGUCAUGAACACUGACCUUAACUGAGGCAAGUGAGGCCUGCAGUUCUUUCGAUGUCCUUGUCGGGUCUUUUGUGACCUCUUGGAUGAGUCAUCGCUGCGCUAUUGGGGUAAUUUUUUUUGGCUGGCCACUCCUGGGAAGGUCCACCACUGUUCCAUGUUUUCGCUAUUUGUGGAUAAUGGCUCUCACUGUGGUUUGCUGGAAUCCCAAAGCUUUAGAAAUGCCUUUAUAACCUUUUCCACUUGAACUCAGGUGUGAUAAAGCACAGUUAAGUUGUGUUUUAACAGGGUUUUUUUCACUUUUCACAGGGCCAUGUAGGUUUUGAUUUUCUUUCUCCCUUAAUAAGUUUCAUUUAAAAACUGCAUUUUGUGUUCAGUUGUGUUGUCAUUGACUAAUAUUUAAAUUUGUUUGAUGAUCUGAAAUGUUUAAGUGUGACAAACAUGAAAAAAAGAAAUCAGGAACGGGCACACCACUGUAUGCUCCUACUACAGUGCAGUGGACGGUGAACUCACUCGGUUAGAGCUUUGUGUUAAUAACGCCAAGGUCACAGCCCCGCACGGUCCAUUAAGUUUACUGCUUUUCAUUGAUCUGCAACACUGACGAUAAAGUUGUAGAGUAGCGGUGAUGUGCGAGCUCAUGCCGAGUACUACGCGCUUUAAAUCCAAACAAGUGGCAACCACAUAAAUCGGGAGAAAUGUUAUUGCGAGAGAAUACUAGUAGAGUGCAAUAAAAUACGUGAGUCUCCUGGGAAAGGCAAGGUCAAGGCCUGUAUGAUAUAAUUUUUUAAAAUAUCAAGUAGUUGAGGAAAAUUGUAUAAACACCUCAACAAGAUAUAUUUAGGAGCUGGUAAUCAGCGAGACCACUUUUAUGAACUGCCAUCUCUGCAAUGUUGAUCUUGAUUCGUCUUGAGAAUAAACCCUCAAUCGCUUGUGGUCUUGAGUACAACACAACUAAUUAAUAACCAAGGUACAAUACCAUUACGCUUACUCUGAACUGCUACCAGCCUUAGUUAUUCAUCUACAUCGGGGAGGGCAUGUCAAAGUGUCCCACUGGACCCCCUAAUUGCUCUUGAUAACCUUUUAACAAGCUGGUACACUAUUGAGUCAUGGAUGGAUUAAUGACACAACAGUAGCAAGUCAUUUACCAGGAACAGCAAGCUGAUCAUUCAUACUAUGUUCGAUAAGUGCCUUUGGGGAUGAUGGUGGUUACGUAAUCACUGUUAGUAGCAAGUAAACUCAGCUCAUGUUGCAUAUGCAAAAACUUGUUUAAUGUCAUUUUACGUCAUAACAGAAGAGCAACAAACAUAGAGCAUCGUGUACAAGUAGUUUGUAGUACGUACCGAUCAGUGGCGUGCCGUCUAAAUGAAUAAUGAUAAAAAAUAAAUACUGUAAUUUCCGGUGUAUAAGCAGCUACUUUAUUGUCACGCUUUGAACCCUGCGGCUAAUUUAUGACUAAAAGAACUACAGUUCCAAUGAUGCUUAGAGUGCAGCUUCAGGAAGAAGUGACUUGUACGAGUGAAGUGGAUGCUAAUAUCACGUUUUGAAGUCUUAUGCAGCGAUUGUGUUUGAAUCGGACAAAUCUUAAGUAAGUUUGAUCAAGUGUAGAAUUACUACAGCUUCUGUUUGGACUGCUUGGACUGAGGGAGAUGUUGAACUCCGAUGGGAAAAAAAAGCACCUCACGUCUCAUCAUGGGAGCUAACAAGUGACUCUGGCAACAUCGAGUGGAGGUAGUAGGAUUGCGAGCUUUAUAGUGUGUCUUUCUUUAUAGUGUGACACAGAAAAAGACAGCGAGAGACUGACAAAGUGUGUGACGAAGGAAUUAGGAAGCUGUUCAAUUUUGACGCUGAAGAAGACGACUUUAGUGGUUUUAGUUCAUGUGAGGAGGAUAAAGACGGCGAUGAAUGACUUUUCUGGUAGACCACUGUUUAACUAGCCGAUUACAUGCACUGUUCGGCGCUGUUUGAAAAAAGCAUUUAUUUAAUCAAAAGUUAAAAAAAUCUUUGUGUGUAACAUCUUUGUGUACUAAAUAUCCCAUAUUACGACAUGAACACCUGCUUAUAAACCGAUACAUCCUAUAUACUGUAUGUACAAAUAUUUUUUGUCUUUAAAUUUAGUGGGUGCAGCUUACAUACUAUUGUCCGGAAGUGAUGGUAUUUGUCCAUUGAAGUGUGCUGUAAAUGUAUUUUCUGUGUGAUUCAAAUGGUUUUAACCUUUUCUUUGGUAAAAAUUGCUGAAUUUGCACAUUUCCUGAUCCAGGGCUGAAAACUGAAAUGAGGCUGAGUGCAUUCAUUCGUGGCAGCAAUACAUCCCACAUCUUCAUUUUGUUUUGGUUCACUCCUAAUUAGCCACAAUCAGGUUAAUAUGCUGUUCAAAUCCUAUUCCUGGUGUCGCCGUCAUUGGGUUACUAUCAUACCACUGGUGUCCAUAGCAACAUCACAUCUUUGCAGUAAAACCUGAGCCAGAAAUAAAACGAGUGCAGUUCAUUUGGUAACCUUUUUACCAUUUUACUGCCAUCUCAUUACAAUGUUUAUCCAGCAUUAGUGUUUAAUUCCUCUCUGGUUACCUUAAAAGUUCAUCAAGUAUGUCACUCCGAGGCGCCAAUGACCUCAACUGAGUUUGAUAAAAGUUUUAUGAGAUUGCGAUCAAAGUGCACAGAGUGAUUAGAUGUGAACACAAACAAGCUCUCAUCCCAAAUGCAAUUAUAAGACUGCUUCAGUGGGUUCCUUCAACAUUCCCCACAGGUAUAUUUGAUGCAAAGUGAAGCCCAGGAAGCUUGUUUUUCCUCAAGUCACUGCACAGCAACCCUUACACCCACCCCCACUAAUAACACUUUACUUGACCAAGUUUGGCGAUUCAUUAAAGAUUUUAACGAGAGGAAGAUACAACUGGACUUCUUAAUAUAGUGGGACUCUCUUCAAAGGAGCAAACACACUUGAAAGGGAAAAGAAUCACAGUUUGACUCGCCACUGUCCUCAUUAGUGGCUCCACUGGAGGACACCAUCGCAUCAGGCCACAUUUUCCCAACAUCACGACACUUGGUGUAUGCAAGGCCAACCUGUGUGUCCUUUCUCUGAUUAGUUAAUUACGUUGAUUUAAUUGAUUGGAGGGCACAUUCAAAUUAAAGGCGGAGGCCGCGCCAGGACAGUCGUACCAAUCCGUCUUUUGUCUCCGGAGAAUUCGGCGUGAGCGUCUAACAAAGACAAAUAGGUCCGGGGGAUGGUGUUAUGCGAGGAGGCGUCAUCAAAUGCACGACCUUGGGACUUUAAUUGAACUGUGAUCGGCGCGUCCGCUCAUUGAAGGAAGAGCGGCGUUAUGAAACGCCAGCCGAGCUGAACUAGGGACAUCUGUCUGGAAUUUUAAUUUGUCUUGGUGUAAUGGCGUAUUAACACCCCCAACAAAGACCUUUCCAAGGCGGAAUUUAGCGUGUUGGGCAGGGAUUAGCUGCAGCGCUUCGCCAGUUUGGCUCACGCUCAGAGAGGGAUAAAAAACAGGCUGAGGUCACUUUGGCAAGCCGCCAUUGUCCUCUUUAUUUACACAUCUAUCAUUGUUUAAAGUACACACAAGUACAACUGGCAGAGAGGGCAAUGGAAUGGAUUCAACACACUAAAACUGCACGCCACUGCCUUGAUGAAAUACAUACACCCCCUUAACUUUUAACUGUCAUUGUUAGCGCAGACUGAAGUUGCGUUGCGUCUUCCCCUCAAGGGCAC